rnacentral:rRNA from 1 species
GUCUACGGCCAUGCUACCCUGAACAAGUCCAAUCUCAUCUGAUCUCAGAAGAUAAGCAGGGUCAGAUCUGGUUAGUACUUGGAUGGGAGACCACAUAAUAAUAAUAAUAAUAAUAAUAA